rnacentral:rRNA from 1 species
GACGAACGCUGGCGGCGUGCUUAACACAUGCAAGUCGAACGGUAAGGCCCUUCGGGGUACACGAGUGGCGAACGGGUGAGUAACACGUGGGUGAUCUGCCCUGCACUUCGGGAUAAGCCUGGGAAACUGGGUCUAAUACCGGAUAGGACCCUGGGAUGCAUGUCCUGGGGUGGAAAGCUUUUGCGGUGUGGGAUGGGCCCGCGGCCUAUCAGCCUGUUGGUGGGGUGAUGGCCUACCAAGGCGACGACGGGUAGCCGGCCUGAGAGGGUGACCGGCCACACUGGGACUGAGAUACGGCCCAGACUCCUACGGGAGGCAGCAGUGGGGAAUAUUGCACAAUGGGCGCAAGCCUGAUACAGCGACGCCGCGUGAGGGAUGACGGCCUUCGGGUUGUAAACCUCUUUCAGCACCGACGAAGCGCAAGUGACGGUAGGUGCAGAAGAAGGACCGGCCAACUACGUGCCAGCCGCCGCAGUAA